AAAUGAAUUGACGGGGGCCCGCACAAGCGGUGGAGCAUGUGGUUUAAUUCGAUGCAACGCGAAGAACCUUACCGGGUCUUGACAUCCAACGAAUCUGGUGGAAACAUCGGAGUGCUCUUCGGAGAACGUUGAGACAGGUGGUGCAUGGUUGUCGUCAGCUCGUGUCGUGAGAUGUUGGGUUAAGUCCCGCAACGAGCGCAACCCCUGCUGUUAGUUGCUAACAGGUUAAGCUGAGCACUCUAGCAGGACUGCCGGUGACAAACCGGAGGAAGGUGGGGAUGACGUCAAAUCAUCAUGCCCUUUAUGAUCCGGGCUACACACGUGCUACAAUGGUCGGUACAGAGAGCAGCGAGACCGCGAGGUUUAGCAAAUCUCACAAAGCCGAUCACAGUUCGGAUUGCAGGCUGCAACUCGCCUGCAUGAAGUCGGAAUCGCUAGUAAUCGCGAAUCAGAAUGUCGCGGUGAAUUCGUUCCCGGGCCUUGUACACACCGCCCGU
rnacentral:rRNA from 1 species